rnacentral:tRNA from 1 species
AUAGUAGUAUUACUUUGGCAGAUUAGUGCGGUAAAUUUAGAAUUUAUUUAUGUGCAAGUGUAC